rnacentral:rRNA from 1 species
UAGGGAAUCUUCGGCAAUGGGGGCAACCCUGACCGAGCAACGCCGCGUGAGUGAAGAAGGUUUUCGGAUCGUAAAGCUCUGUUGUAAGAGAUGAACGUGUGUGAGAGUGGAAAGUUCACACAGUGACGGUAACUUACCAGAAAGGGACGGCUAACUACGUGCCAGCAGCCGCGGUAAUACGUAGGUCCCGAGCGUUGUCCGGAUUUAUUGGGCGUAAAGCGAGCGCAGGCGGUUUAAUAAGUCUGAAGUUAAAGGCAGUGGCUUAACCAUUGUUCGCUUUGGAAACUGUUAAACUUGAGUGCAGAAGGGGAGAGUGGAAUUCCAUGUGUAGCGGUGAAAUGCGUAGAUAUAUGGAGGAACACCGGUGGCGAAAGCGGCUCUCUGGUCUGUAACUGACGCUGAGGCUCGAAAGCGUGGGGAGCAAACAGG